GCCUGCAUCACAAAGGAGAUCUUGCAUAUUCCUCCUGUACGGAGCAAGUUGUGUUUCCUGGUCAAGGACAUUUCCAUUUGUAUCCUGAACGACAGGACGAUAAUCUCCAAGAAAAAACUGGUCAUACUUGGCAUCCUGCUGGGAUUCUCCUUGCCCUGUAUUCAAUAUGUACAAUUGGCCAACAUCAUCUGAAAGUAUUAUUGAUGUCCCAUCCGGAGAAAAUUUUCCAUCAACUAGUUUGAAUCGCCCAAUUUCGUAUGUUCGGAUAGGUGCACCUUCCCAUAUAU
rnacentral:misc_RNA from 1 species